AUCGCUUCUUGGCCUUUUGGUUAAGAUCAAGUGUAAUAUCUGUUCUUAUCAGUUUAAUAUCUGAUACGUCCUCUAUCCAAGAAAAAUAUAUUAAAUGGAUUUUGGAGCAGGAAGAUGGAAUAGGAGCUUACUCUGUCCACUCCAUGCAUCGACCCAAUAUUGCAGUACCUUUGGGAAUGGUGCACACACA